AACGUAGGAGGCAAGCGUUAUCCGGAGUUACUGGGCGUAAAGCGUGCGUAGGCGGGUUGGUAAGUGGGUGGUGAAAGCGCUCGGCUAAACCGGGCGAGUGCCAUCCAGACUGCCAGUCUAGAGGCGGAUAGAGGGGUGCGGAAUUCCGGGUGUAGCGGUGAAAUGUGUAGAGAUCCGGAGGAACACCAGUGGUGCAAACGGCGCCCUGGGUCCGAACUGACGCUGAUGCACGAAAGCGUGGGGAGCGAACAGG
rnacentral:rRNA from 1 species